UUGGGUUGUUGCAAAAGUAAUUGUAGUCUUUGCCAUUGCAGGUGAUGGCAAAAACCACAGUUACUUUUGCACCAACCUAAUA
rnacentral:miRNA from 1 species